rnacentral:rRNA from 1 species
UACGUAGGUGGCAAGCGUUGUCCGGAUUUACUGGGCGUAAAGAGCGCGCAGGCGGUCGUUCAAGUCGCGUGUGAAAGCCCCCGGCUCAACUGGGGAGGGUCACGCGAUACUGAUCGACUCGAAGGCAGGAGAGGGUAGUGGAAUUCCCGGUGUAGUGGUGAAAUGCGUAGAUAUCGAGGGGAACACCUGCGGCGAAGGCGGGUAGCUGGGCCGACACUGACGCUGAGGAGCGAAAGCGUGGGGAGCGAACAGG